UCUCCGUUGGUGAACCAGCGGAGGGACCAUUACCGAGUUAUUCAACUCCCAAACCCCUGUGAACUUAUACCUUUACUGUUGCUUCGGCGGGUUAACGCCCCGGAAGGCCCGCGAGUGCCGCCGGAGCCAGGCGGCCGCCGGGGGACCCAAACUCUUGUCUCUUUUUUAUAGCAUGUCUGAGUGGAAUCAUAAACAAAUGAAUCAAAACUUUCAACAACGGAUCUCUUGGUUCUG
rnacentral:misc_RNA from 1 species